rnacentral:rRNA from 1 species
UACAGAGGGGGCAAGCGUUAUUCGGAAUUAUUGGGCGUAAAGGGCGCGUAGGCGGCUUGGCAAGUGGAUGGUGAAAUCCCUCGGCUUAACCGAGGAACUGCCGUCCAAACUGCUUCGCUUGAGACCGGGAGAGGUGAGUGGAAUUCCCAGUGUAGCGGUGAAAUGCGUAGAUAUUGGGAGGAACACCAGUGGCGAAGGCGGCUCACUGGACCGGUACUGACGCUGAUGCGCGAAGGCGUGGGGAGCGAACGGG